CUCUAAGCACAUAGCGGCAUCUCACCAGUCACCACUCGAAGCCGCCGCCGCCACCACUACUGUCAUCCGCAUCGGGACCCCGGUCUCCAUCCCAGCCAUCGACGUCCAUCGCAUGGCGACUCCCGCCCUUUGCCGCAGCCACCGAUGCCCUCCACAGGAACCUGGCCGCCUCCCCUGAGGAUAUCUGGAGCCGGUGAAUCCUACAUCGACCCCAACACCCCUCCCGCAUCGGCCGCAAGCAGGAGCCGCCGGCAGCACCCUCUAGCGUCGACCGCAAGAAGCACAAGCAAAAGUGCUAGCUUAUUCUCAAUACCUUCUCUGAUCUAGUGCUAGCUGAUGAUUGGGAGCAUAGUUGCUUGGAUUUUUCAUAGGCACAGAUCUGGUGGUACCUUGUGGCUGGACUUGAGAGAAGUGCUAGAACGUGUGACUAGGAGAAGCAGGACAGCAUGGAUUUUUAGAUCCCGUUGAACAAAUGCUUGUAUAAUCUCCACAAGUUUAUCUGGACAUUGAAGACUCCAUAUUGUCUCAUGAGAAGGUUACUAAAGGCAGCAAAAAUCUGAGGCGUUUGGUGAGGCUAUCUCUUAAUUGCGGCAAUAUGACCAAGGUGCUCAUGGUGGCUAUUUUCGUUAGUGAUAAAAGAUUUAGUUGUUCGAGCAAAUCAUACGAGUUAUAUGUUGUACAAGCCAAUGUCUAGUUUUGUAGGUACUUGAGUGUAGCAUGGUUAUUGUCUUAGUAUUUCGUGUGAAAUAUUGUACAAGUAUAAAUGUUGAUAGUUUUAAUGAAAAUGAUGAGCAAUAUUUGUCAA